AAUGCGUUCCGCAUUGUAAAAAUGCGGAACGCCACGUGUUCCGCAUUCCCACAAUGCGGAACGCGUGGGCCCAGAUAUUAUUUUGGAAUUAAAUUCUAAAGAGGUACUAAACCAGAAAUUUCAAUGCCUUAUAGGCACACAAAAAUCAAAAACCCCUUUUUAUUAUCAAAUUUACUACUUGAGAUGAAAUUGUUCUAUUGCAGUUUGGGUUGUUAUGAGCCAGAUUACCGUAGGCUUGUAUUUGAGAAAAGGAGGAAUGUCCACCGUCAAUCAAAGGGUCUCUUUUAGUUGAACUCCAUAUUAUAGGGGUCCACUAAAUUAGGCUUUCUUUUUGGUGGAAAUUAGACCCAGCACUACAAUAAGUCUAAAUAUUCUCACGCGUACCACCAUACUUCUUUUAUUGCAAAAAUAUAUCAGAAGUUGAAUCAUUUUCAUUUUCCUUCUUUCUUCUUUAAAUUUUACGAUUCUUUUUUCUCAACGAUCAGAAAAAUUGUCGCUAUGAUUUUUGGGGAUUUUGAUUUGGAUGUCAUCUUGCAUCUGUGAAGCUUCUCCUCGUUGGAUUCGACCGUUUUUCUAUUUGGUUUCAGUGUUUCAAAAUUGAAAAGUUAUCUCCUUUUUAGAGAAAUGUAUCUCAACUGGGUAAUACAUAGAUAUCACUUCUUUUUCUACUGAAUGGCCACCAUUUGUAUGGCACAGUAGUAUAUUUUGGAGAUGUUAGACGACGGUGAUGGAAGGAAAUGCAAUUUCGGAUAUGCAGUCGAAAUGUUCGAUGAAAUGCUUGAGAGAGGGUUGUAAUGUUCUGUUAGGAUUUGGUGUAGGUAACGGUUGAUGACAGAAGUGUGAUAUGAGUGGUCCCGUGAGGUGACGGUGACAGUGAAUGUGGGUGAGAGAAGCAUCACUGUUUCUGGAUUCUUUCAUUUUAAUAGUCUUGGUUUUAGCCAAAUAGGGUGUGUGAAACUGAUGUUUAAUGAGAAUGAAGGUGAUAAUGAAGGAUUGGGAGUAUUUCAUUAAGCUUGAGGAACAUGUUUGCGCAGAGAUUAUUCACAUAAUCGUAGCUCAAUAUAUGUCGGCAAAAUUGUGAGGUCAUGCAAGAAAAAAUUAUAGAAAAUUUUGAGCAGGUGCAUACAACAUAUCAGAAACUGACCAAGAGGUGUCAGAUGAUGGAAUAGGAGAUGGAGAGUUUGUCCAAUGAUACUAGAGGUUACUAGAGGGUUACUAAUUUAUUUUUUAGCAAAUCGUUAGUAAACUGUUAGUAAAUUAACUUAAUUUUUUUAGUAAAUUGAUAAUUUAUAAGUCCAUAUAACAGUUGACCCUGAAAUAAUGUGGUUGCAUUUUGUGUAGCUUUGAGCUGUUGUAAGGGAAAUAUUGGCUAAUUUUUACUAAGGUGUGAAAUGAGAUUUCGUUAGGCAUUACUUCUAGAUAUUUGUUAUAUGAAGCUCAAUGAAGCUCUUCGUUCCAAUGAUGCUACAACAGAGAGAUCCGAAGUAGAAGAAAAAUAGAGUCUCCACCUGAAAGAGAAAAAUCGAACCCGUUAUAUUUUGUGAUUUUAUUUUUUAUUUAUGAUGUGAUGAU